UACGUAGGUGGCAAGCGUUGUCCGGAUUUACUGGGCGUAAAGGAUGCGUAGGCGGACAUUUAAGUCAGAUGUGAAAUACCCGAGCUUAACUUGGGUGCUGCAUUUGAAACUGGGUGUCUAGAGUGCAGGAGAGGUAAGUGGAAUUCCUAGUGUAGUGGUGAAAUGCGUAGAGAUUAGGAAGAACACCAGUGGCGAAGGCGACUUACUGGACCAUUACUGACGCUGAGGCACGAAAGCUAGGGGAGCAAACAGG
rnacentral:rRNA from 1 species